UACGUAGGGUGCAAGCGUUAAUCGGAAUUACUGGGCGUAAAGCGUGCGCAGGCGGUUGUGCAAGACAGAUGUGAAAUCCCCGGGCUUAACCUGGGAAUUGCAUUUGUGACUGUACGGCUAGAGUGUGUCAGAGGGGGGUAGAAUUCCACGUGUAGCAGUGAAAUGCGUAGAUAUGUGGAGGAAUACCGAUGGCGAAGGCAGCCCCCUGGGAUAACACUGACGCUCAUGCACGAAAGCGUGGGGAGCAAACAGG
rnacentral:rRNA from 1 species